GUGGUACUUCCGGGUCAGGUGGUAUAUAUACUUCCGGUCGCAGGCUGUGCUCCUUGUGCAGCCCUGGUGAACAUGGCGACUUGUGUGACUAUCGGUUCCUGAAAGAUCAGAGGAUUUAUUGCCAGUGGAGGAGAUGCUGGAAUAUCCCGGACGAGAUCCCAAAAUGAUAGGUGUGUACCCAUGGCAACCGGAGCCGAGCGGGUGACGUCACUUCCGGUGCGAUGGGAGACCCGCGACCGGAAGUACCACUACGGGACAGCGGCCGGGAGCGUGGGGCACACACUGGAGCUGCACAGGAGGAUCCUUUCCCUGAAUGCCCAGUACCCAGGAAGUGCCCAUGAUUCAGCAAUCAGGGAUAUGGCACAAAUUAUCCAUGUUGGAAGCCCAAGACACAUAGCUCUUGGGACACAGUGGAUAUCCUUGCACCCCCUGGCUCAUGACUCCUUAUAGCACACCAACACCAGUACCACAAUCUGCAUUUAACUCCACACUUACAGCCACCAGCCAGGUGGUAGACCGCAUGAUCAGACUUUUGAAAGGCCAAUUUAGGGUGCUCCACCACACUGGUAGUGACCUCAUGUAUUCACUGGAAAUGGUUAGUAAGAUAGUGGUCAUGUGUGCAAUACUGCUAUAAGGACUCAUGUGGCAUUGGCCCAACAAGAAAUAAUGGCCCCAGAGGAUGAGGAGCCAGGGAUUGGCUAUUUCUGGGGCUGCAGACGAGAGUCAGAAUGUGGACAUGCAAAUGUGCAACAGAUUAGUUGCCCAAUAUAUCAGGCAGAGCACAAAGGAGGAGUGGGAGGUCACAACCAACACAUCUGUCCAAACACUCCCCCCCCCCCCAUCAAACUCCAUCCUUCCCUCAAUCUUCAACCCACUCUCAGCCUCCCUCUCCCCCUCAACCUCCAUCCCCCACUCAAAAUCCAUCCACUCAUGACUUGCCAUCCACCCUCCCACCCCCUUUCAAGCCACAGAAGGAAUGCAGCCACCACCAGAGGAAGUAGUGGAGGAUGAGUGGGUGGCUAUGGCCAAAAACCCUGAGGUUGGAGAUCUAAACCAGACCAUGCAUAUGUAGCUACUGGCCAUGCACGCACACAUUCUGGCCCCGCUGGACAAUGUCUAGAAUUUAUUAGUCAUUUUGAUAAAUUUCAUUAUGAAUUUGUUUUUUGUUGUUUCAAAAAAAUUAAACUUUCAAGUUGUGUGGUGUUUUUAUUAAAAAUAAACUUAUACAUUAAGUGUCUUUUCUAUA